rnacentral:rRNA from 1 species
GGUGAAAAGCACCCCGGAAGGGGAGUGAAAUAGAACCUGAAACCGUGUGCUUACAAGUAGUCAGAGCCCGUUAAUGGGUGAUGGCGUGCCUUUUGUAGAAUGAACCGGCGAGUUACGAUUUGAUGCAAGGUUAAGCAGUAAAUGUGGAGCCGUAGCGAAAGCGAGUCUGAAUAGGGCGUUUAGUAUUUGGUCGUAGACCCGAAACCAGGUGAUCUACCCUUGGUCAGGUUGAAGUUCAGGUAACACUGAAUGGAGGACCGAACCGACUUACGUUGAAAAGUGAGCGGAUGAACUGAGGGUAGCGGAGAAAUUCCAAUCGAACCUGGAGAUAGCUGGUUCUCUCCGAAAUAGCUUUAGGGCUAGCCUCAAGUGAUGAUUAUUGGAGGUAGAGCACUGUUUGGACGAGGGGCCCCUCUCGGGUUACCGAAUUCAGACAAACUCCGAAUGCCAAUUAAUUUAACUUGGGAGUCAGAACAUGGGUGAUAAGGUCCGUGUUCGAAAGGGAAACAGCCCAGACCACCAGCUAAGGUCCCAAAAUAUAUGUUAAGUGGAAAAGGAUGUGGCGUUGCCCAGACAACUAGGAUGUUGGCUUAGAAGCAGCCAUCAUUUAAAGAGUGCGUAAUAGCUCACUAGUCGAGUGACACUGCGCCGAAAAUGUACCGGGGCUAAACAUAUUACCGAAGCUGUGGAUUGUCCUUUGGACAAUGGUAGGAGAGCGUUCUAAGGGCGUUGAAGCAUGAUCGUAAGGACAUGUGGAGCGCUUAGAAGUGAGAAUGCCGGUGUGAGUAGCGAAAGACGGGUGAGAAUCCCGUCCACCGAUUGACUAAGGUUUCCAGAGGAAGGCUCGUCCGCUCUGGGUUAGUCGGGUCCUAAGCUGAGGCCGACAGGCGUAGGCGAUGGAUAACAGGUUGAUAUUCCUGUACCACCUAUAAUCGUUUUAAUCGAUGGGGGGACGCAGUAGGAUAGGCGAAGCGUGCGAUUGGAUUGCACGUCUAAGCAGUAAGGCUGAGUAUUAGGCAAAUCCGGUACUCAUUAAGGCUGAGCUGUGAUGGGGAGAAGACAUUGUGUCUUCGAGUCGUUG